rnacentral:lncRNA from 1 species
CUGGACUGUGAGGGAGGCAACCCUUAAAAUGGUGUGAAAUAGAAAAAGAGGACAAACUUGUCUGCAGCACUCAGGAGGCUCAGGGAAUUAACCAGGAGGGAACAGUAGCCCGGUUAAAAUAGUUUCUGUACUUCCAGAGGAAGCAAUUAAAUCUCAGCGUCUACCAUGGCAAAAGACCGAUUGUACUUGAGGAACAAAAUCGGGGAUGAUCAUCCUUUAGUGGCGGGAAGCUGGAAAAUGAGGGACUGUGGGCUGUGAGGAGAGAGAAAGAGGCUUGAGAAACCAGAAACCAUCAUUUGCAUCCAAGAAACUGUGCUCUCCAUGGCUUCCUCAAGAUGAGCAAACAAGAGUGAUACAGAUUUUUCUGAGAUGGACAGUGCCUCUCACUGACCCCGCCCCCAGUAUCCUACGACCAAGGAAAAGAAUCUCAUGUGUCAUUUCUGUGGGCCACGGUAGUUAAGGAAACUCCAUGUAUUUUCAUCUGGAGCCUCACAGCAACCCUGACAAGUGGCUAAGUGGGGACAAUGUGAAGCUCGGCUGCCCUUCCCCAAGGCCCUGGUCUUGACAGUCCUCAGGGGCUGGAGGCCCCCCUCAUCCAUGUCCCCACAAGAUUUCUGUCCAUGGCACCCAAGGACCCACUCAAAUGGUCUUGAAUGGACCUGAGGAAGACUGGCGAGUUAUUGGUUUUAUAAGCACAGUUGUGUCCGUUUACAUCUACCAGAAGGUACAGGGAUAUGGCGAGAGUGAGAAGACGUGACACCUGUUAAUACAAACUCUCCCCUUUAACUUGUCUUUCCAGAGAACACAGAAUGGGAGACACCGCUAAAACAGGCCACGUUAGCACUAGAACUGAUAAACUGAGAGCUAGGUUCUAGAUAGAAAAGUUACGAUGAAACAUCCUCAUCAUUGUCAACAGAUGAAUAUCUAAACCUCAGCUUUGAUGUCCUCUGCCAAAUGGAUUGGAUGAUGCCUGCCCUUGCCACUCCACGGGGUCUUUGGGGAUGAACUGAGCUACAAUGGCGAGGGAGCGGGUGGGAUACUAACUGGCCCUUCCCCUAGAUAGGAGGCCAUCAAGUGCAGAGCCAGAGACCGGCCCUGGGCCUCCGCAGGCUCCCCCGGAGCCAAAGAGAGGCCAAACCGAAGCGCCCUGCCCAAGGCCGCCCUAACGCGACUCUGGCCGCUCCUGCCUAGCAGAUACCGGCUGGUGCCCUCGCUUCGGAUGCAAGAUCCCAGCUCUGCUGCAGCUUUCGAGCCGGAGGGACAAUCGAAAUGAUCAAAAAUGCCCGGCGGGCAGCCUUGGCGAGCGCGCGGCGGGGCGCGGGGUGAAGUCUCGCCAGGGCGCGCCGCGGCGGACACCGAGCCACACGCACUGUGCCUGCGCCCGCGGCCGCCCCGAAGGUAGUCGGUAACUGCGGCGGGCGGCGGCCGGGGCUGGACAGCCAGCCCCGCCCGGCAGGCUCGCAGCUCACGUAGCGCUAGCGUGAGUCAGCGCGUUCCAGCGCAGCCCCGGGCCGAGGGAGGGCUCCCGCGCGCAGCGCCAGCAGCCCGCACGUACCGGCCCCGGGAGGGGGCGCCUAGGUGGUUCCACUCGCGGGUGCCCUGUGCCCUGCAGUGUCCCCACGCCCCAGGUUGUCCCCCUCGAAAGCCACGUGGGCGUGGGGCUCGCCUUCCCUGGGCGGAGUCCCCAUCGGUGCCUGCCCGCCCGGAAGUAGGGGCGCGAGGGUGACGGGCAAGACCGAGCCCGGCCCGUGAUUCUUCCUCAGCCGGAGCUCGACCUUCUCCUUGUCCCUUGCGUUUCCUUUCUUUGAACCACACACUCGCUCGCUCACGUUUGUCCCGACUAAGUUGCCCCCGGCCCCCGCAGCUGUCAUGAAGAUAGAUGGAGAGGUAGCUGCGAGAGCCCAGCCUCGGCGGGUGGUGCCCAGGGCGGACUGGGGAGACUAAAGACAGUAAAGGGCGGGUGGGACUCGAGUCCUCUAUCCACCUAAUCUCACAUGCAGUGGGACUUAUCAUUCCAGUCGGUCUGCAUUUCCUCAAAUCUGCACCUGUUUAGUUACGACAACCAGCUUUAUAAAAGGAAGCGGCCUACGUGCCUGACAGCUGAAUGACGGAAUUAGAAGUCAUUCUCUACUAAAUGUGUGAACAUAGCAGGACCUCCGCUUAAGUUCUAGACCUACAGGGUUGCAAGUCUGGGCCUCCUGGGGGCAGGAAAAAAUUCCAAGUCCUCCUUUGCCCCUCGGUAAAAUGUUCUUUCACAAAUUAGAGCCAACGGCACAUCUGUGAUGUGCCUAUGUCACUUUUUCAAAGCCUUGCUCAGGGGUUGGAAUGUCGUGGAGAGGGAGACGAGGUGGGUGCUUAUGAAGGGAAAGAGAUACAUGGGGAAGGGGGAGAGGAAACGUUGAUUAGGAAAGGAGCUUGCAGUCAUGAGUAAAGUGACUGACAGAACGUUAUUGAGCCUGUCAUGGAGAUCAGGCACUAUUUGGGCACCAGUGACGCAAAAUAAGUGGCUCCCCGUGGUCCCUGCUCUCAGGGUUACAGAUGAGUGGGAGAUAUUAACUAAGUAGACAGUGAAACAUGAGGAAGACUUAGUAUGACGGUUCAGCACCCAGACUUGGGAACCAGGCUGUGCAGGUUCUGAUGCUGGCUCUGCAAUUUACAGACCGUGUGAUCUUAGCCAAGUGAGUACCCCCAUCUGUCCUCACCUUCUUGUUUUGGAAAAUAAAAAUGGUGAAAACGACUUACUUUUUAGGACAUUUCAGAGGUCUAAAUACAUUAAUACAAGCAGAGCACUGGAAUUCAGUAGGCACCGAAUAAAUCUUGUUAAUAGAAUAAAUGGAGGAGAUACAGGCAGGGGCUGCCAAGCACAGCAGAGCAGGCUGUAUGCUGUACAACUCCAGAAGACACGUUCGUAGAAGUGAAUGGAGCUUUCUGGAACUGUGCAGUGUGGUGGUCCUGAGUAUGAGUGAUGUCUAUUUUAGCAUAGUUCAUAAUAGGAAAAAAUGGAAAAUUCAAAUGCACUUAUCUAUAAAUGUGGUAUGUUCAUACAGUGGAGUACUAUUAGAGCUAUUAAAAGGGAUCAGCUGCAUCUAUGUGUAUCAAAAUCUCAAAAGUAUAUUGAAUGAAAAACAGCAAGUUGCAAAAUGAUACAUGCAGCAUGAUGCCAUUUAUAGAAAGAAAAUGUACAUACACACAAAAAAUCCCAUAUAUAUAUAUAUAUAUAUAUAUAUAUAUAUAUAUAUAUAUAUAUGCUGGAAAAAUACACACCAAACUUAAAGCUGUCUUUGAAUGGAAGGGGAGGAAUUCAGAUUUGAAAUGGUAGUCAUAGGAAUUUAGCUUAUUCUCAUAUUGUAAUAAUUGUUUCAAAGAACAAUGUGCUUAUAUAUCAUGCAGUUUUUUAUUUUAAGGAAUAGAUAUAAAAUAAAACUAGAAGCAAAUAUGUCAACACUGGCUAACUGUGGGUUGCUGGAAUAUGAGUAAUCAUUAUUUUUUCAUUUGUACUUUUCUGAAUAUUCAAAUUAAAAAUAAUUACAACCUUGCAGGUCAAGUGCUAUGCUAAAGGUGUAAAAGGGAUGGGCCUGGAGAGCAUGUCUCGGGUGAGGCUACGCUUGUAC